UACACCUCCUGUAAUUGUUCAGGGUUUGU
rnacentral:piRNA from 1 species